UCCUGGCUCAGGAUGAACGCUGGCGGCGUGCUUAACACAUGCAAGUCGAACGAAGCAUUCCAACUCUCGGAGGAGAAAUGACUGAGUGGCGGACGGGUGAGUAACGCGUGGGUAACCUGCCUUAUACAGGGGGAUAACAGUUAGAAAUGACUGCUAAUACCGCAUAACCCGCUAGUACCGCAUGGUACAGACGGAAAAGAUUUAUCGGUAUAAGAUGGACCCGCGUCUGAUUAGCUAGUUGGUGAGGUAAUGGCUCACCAAGGCGACGAUCAGUAGCCGGCUUGAGAGAGUGAACGGCCACAUUGGGACUGAGACACGGCCCAAACUCCUACGGGAGGCAGCAGUGGGGAAUAUUGCACAAUGGGGGAAACCCUGAAUGCAGCAACGCCGCGUGAAGGAAGAAGUAUUUCGGUAUGUAAACUUCUAUCAGCAGGAAAGAAAAUGACGGUACCUGACUAAGAAGCCCCGGCUAACUACGUGCCAGCCGCCGC
rnacentral:rRNA from 1 species